rnacentral:rRNA from 1 species
GACGAACGCUGGCGGCGUGUUUAACACAUGCAAGUCGAGCGAUGAAGUUUCUUCGGAGAUGGAUUAGCGGCGAACGGGUGAGGAACACGUGAAGAAUCUGCCCUCGACUUUGGGAUAACACCGGGAAACCGGUGAUAAUACCGAAUAUUGAAACAUAAGUGGCAUCACUGCGUUUUGAAGGAAUUUCGGUGGAGGAUGACUUCGCGGCCUAUCAGCUAGUUGGUGAGGUAAUGGCUCACCAAGGCAACGACGGGUAGCCGGCCUGAGAGGGCGACCGGCCACACUGGGACUGAGACACGGCCCAGACUCCUACGGGAGGCAGCAGUGGGGAAUAUUGGGCAAUGGAGGAAACUCUGACCCAGCGACGCCGCGUGCGGGAUGAAGGCCUUCGGGUUGUAAACCGCUUUCAGUAGGGAAGAAGCGAAAGUGACGGUACCUAUAAAAGAAGCACCGGCUAACUAUGUGCCAGCAGCCGCGGUAA